GACGAACGCUGGCGGCGUGCUUAACACAUGCAAGUCGAACGGAAAGGCCUCUUUCGGGGGGUACUCGAGUGGCGAACGGGUGAGUAACACGUGAGUAACCUGCCCUUGACUUUGGGAUAACUUCAGGAAACUGGGGCUAAUACCGGAUAGGAGCUCCUGCUGCAUGGUGGGGGUUGGAAAGUUUCGGCGGUUGGGGAUGGACUCGCGGCUUAUCAGCUUGUUGGUGGGGUAGUGGCUUACCAAGGCUUUGACGGGUAGCCGGCCUGAGAGGGUGACCGGCCACAUUGGGACUGAGAUACGGCCCAGACUCCUACGGGAGGCAGCAGUUGGGAAUAUUGCACAAUGGGUGGAAGCCUGAUGCAGCAACGCCGUGUGCGGGAUGACGGCCUUCGGGUUGUAAACCGCUUUCGCUCAUGACGAAGCUUUGUGUGACGGUAGUGGGUAAAGAAGCACCGGCUAACUACGUG
rnacentral:rRNA from 1 species